GAUGAACGCUGGCGGCGUGCUUAACACAUGCAAGUCGAACGGAAAGGCCCAAGCUUGCUUGGGUACUCGAGUGGCGAACGGGUGAGUAACACGUGGGUGAUCUGCCCUGCACUUCGGGAUAAGCCUGGGAAACUGGGUCUAAUACCGGAUAGGACCACGUCUUGGAUGUUGUGGUGGAAAGUUUUUUCGGUGUGGGAUGAGCUCGCGGGCUAUCAGCUUGUUGGUGGGGUAAUGGCCUACCAAGGCGUCGACGGGUAGCCGGCCUGAGAGGGUGUACGGCCACAUUGGGACUGAGAUACGGCCCAGACUCCUACGGGAGGCAGCAGUGGGGAAUAUUGCACAAUGGGCGCAAGCCUGAUGCAGCGACGCCGCGUGGGGGAUGACGGCCUUCGGGUUGUAAACUCCUUUCGCUAGGGACGAAGCGUUUUGUGACGGUACCUGGAGAAGAAGCACCGGCUAACUACGUG
rnacentral:rRNA from 1 species